UCGUUUUCACGAAAGUGGGAAAGUCUGGGAUUCUGGCCAUCAUUGCUUCGACGCUCUUGCAGAGGUGCCGGGGCAGGG
rnacentral:ribozyme from 1 species